UUCCAAUUAGGAAAAAAAUACAAGAAUAAAUACGAGAACAAAUACAAAUUAAUCUAAAUUUAAAGUGUUUUUGAGCUGAGAUGAUGGAGUAUUCUAUUACAUUUACAGAGAAUUGUUCACCCAAACUUAGUGCAAAGUUAAUAGAUUGCUUCAAGUCUGCAGGAUUGCUGUGUGAAAGUGUUUAUGAAGGAAAGAAUUCGGUGUAUGUAGGCGCUACAUUUGAAUGUCUUGUCGACAAGG